rnacentral:lncRNA from 1 species
GUGGAGCUGGUACUCCACCCUGAAGGGGAAAAAAGCUCAUUUAAUUCAUUUCUGCACUUGGAAGCCUCUCCCUUUUCGAACGCCAAUUAGGCGGCAGCUGCUGGGGACUUUUUUCCUCCCCUUAUCCCAAGAUGGCCGUCUGAUUUUCGGCGCCUGUUGACUUAAGCUCUUGCAGGAGGUUGGGUGGGGCGGGCGUGGUAGGACCGCGGCCGCUCUGAAGUGGGCUGGCCGAGUUUUGCUGACUUUCCGCGAGAGCCUGUGGGUGGGAGCGGGUGAGGUUCCACAGAGGACCCAGCCCUCGUCUGUUUCUUCCAGGACGCUGGGGUUUGGGAUUUCAGAGUCUGGUUUUUCUUUGUUUCCGGAGAGUCCAUUCCAGCAUCUAUUAAACAAGAAUAAGAAGGAAAGAUUCGAAGCAAUAUCCCAAUACCCUUUAGAUUCUAUCAACUGUGAGACACUAUGGAUUUUCAAAGACGGCUGACUGCCUUUCAUGCCUCUGAACUCCGCCCUUCCUUGGCAUGAUGGAGAAGGAAAAUGAACUCAAGACCCACCUAGUACAGCAUCUUAAAUCUAAUUAGGUACCCAAACAAGCGAAUUAUUUGAACUCAACGCAUCCCAAGUUGCAAAAGUGGGCCAAGUCUCUUGGCUCCUAGGACUACAGCUCUGCCUCCUUCAGGAGCUAGAGAGCUGAUGCUCAGGAGAACUGCAGGUAUGUGCCAGGCCCCGGGAAGAAGCACACCCUCCUGUGUAAUGUGAAGGCCACGGUCCAGACUUCAUUCUCCCCGGGUCUCAGGGUAAGUGCAACAGCGGAGGAAAAUCUUAACUACAGAAGCGCGAAACCUCUUUCCGAGUGAUAAUGCUGCCUAGCAGGGUGCCUUGGGAGAGCUCGAUUGUACGGUACGUCCCUUCUGUACACAGGGCCUGUGAGUCAUGCUCCUUAGGGAAGAUCAGAGGAGAGAAAGCCUAGUGGCUGGCAGGUGCCUUAGGCCCUUCAGAUAGGUCCUUGUCUCGGGGCCCCUGUGACCUGUGAAGAUCUUCAGGGGUCAAACCUCUUAUUCUCUCUUCUCUGGGCCCCCUCUUCCCAACUGGAAGGAGUAUCACCGUCUCCUCAGAGCACCAUUUAAUUUCCUCUUCAUAGACUAAGCCUUUAUCAGAUGUCACGAUGUUUUGCACCGAGGCAUCAAUGUCACUGUUCAGAGAGACAGUAUUUUGAAACCUGAAGACAGAGAAGAGUGUGGAAUAGCUGCAGAUACAGACAGUUGAUUUCAUUCAUUCAUUCAUUCAUUCAUUCAUUCAUUCAUUCAUUUUUCCCUUGAGUGCUUAGAGAAACACUUAAAUCCUCUAUCUCCUCUGCUGCUGCGUUGCUCAAGCCAACGUGCUCUCUGAGCUGGACCGGUACAGUACUUUCUGAAUAGUUCUAUU